rnacentral:rRNA from 1 species
GACGAACGCUGGCGGCGUGCUUAACACAUGCAAGUCGAACGGAAAGGCCCUGCUUUUGUGGGGUGCUCGAGUGGCGAACGGGUGAGUAACACGUGAGUAACCUGCCCUUGACUUUGGGAUAACUUCAGGAAACUGGGGCUAAUACCGGAUAGGAGCUCCUGCUGCAUGGUGGGGGUUGGAAAGUUUCGGCGGUUGGGGAUGGACUCGCGGCUUAUCAGCUUGUUGGUGGGGUAGUGGCUUACCAAGGCUUUGACGGGUAGCCGGCCUGAGAGGGUGACCGGCCACAUUGGGACUGAGAUACGGCCCAGACUCCUACGGGAGGCAGGAGUGGGGAAUAUUGCACAAUGGGCGGAAGCCUGAUGCAGCAACGCCGCGUGCGGGAUGACGGCCUUCGGGUUGUAAACCGCUUUCGCCUGUGACGAAGCGUGAGUGACGGUAAUGGGUAAGAAGCACCGGCUAACUACGUG